AUGUCAAAGGACCCAGUGGUGGUUGGCUGUCUGAUAAAGGAUUACUUCCCAUCUGGAACUAUGAAAGUGUCCUGGAGCAAGAGUGGAGCGGAUGUGACAACCAUAAACUUCCCACCUGCCCAGACCUCUGGGGGCCCAUUCACCAUGAGCAGCCAGUUGACACUGCCAGCUUCCCAGUGCCCAGCUGAAGAAAAUGUGACAUGCUCCGUGCAACAGAACUCUAACCCCGCCAAAGAUGUGGAUGUGCCCUGCUUAAUAGAUGAUCGUGUUCCAGGUCCUUGUCCCAUAGACUGCCAACCUCGCCUGUCCCUGCGCCGGCCAGCUCUUGAGGACCUGCUCCUGGGCAAAGAUGCCAGCCUCACGUGUACACUAAGUGGCCUGAAAAAACCCGAGGGAACCACUUUCACCUGGAAGCCUACCACUGGGAAGGAUGCAGUGACCAACGCACCUGUGCCAGACUCCUGCGGCUGCUACAGUGUAUCUAGUGUCCUGCCUGGCUGUGCUGAGCGCUGGAAUAAGGGGGAGACCUUCACAUGCACAGUUCACCACGCUGAGUCUGAGACCCUAACUGCCACAAUUGCCAAAGAGACAGGGAACGCCCUCCCACCCCAGGUCCACCUGCUGCCGCCGCCGUCGGAGGAGCUGGCCCUGAAUGAGCUGGUGUCCCUGACAUGCCUAGUACGAGGAUUCAACCCUAAAGAUGUGCUGGUGCGUUGGCUGCAUGGAAACAAGGAGCUGUCCAGUGGCGACUACCUAGUGUGGGAACCCCUGAAGGAGCCAGGCGAGGGUGCCACCACCUAUGCGGUGACAAGCGUGCUGCGUGUGUCAGCCGAAGCCUGGAAACAGGGUGACAAUUACUCCUGCAUGGUUGGCCACGAGGCUUUGCCCCUGAGCUUCACCCAGAAGACCAUCGAUCGUCUGUCGGGUCAUCUAUGUCUUACAGAAUGUCAAGAGCCAUUUCCUUGUGUGAUACUGGACCAGUCCCAGGACACGCUGGAGGAAGAGAUGCCGGGUGCCAGCCUGUGGCCCACCACAGUGACCUUUCUCACCCUUUUCCUGCUUAGCCUGUUCUACAGCACAGCACUCACCGCCACAACUGUGCGGGGCCCAUUUGGCAGCAAAGAGAUUCCCCAAUACUGA